AUGAACGCUGGCGGCGUGCCUAAUACCUGCAAGUCGAGCGAACAGAUAAGGAGCUUGCUCCUUUGACGUUAGCGGCGGACGGGUGAGUAACACGUGGAUAACCUACCUAUAAGACUGGGAUAACUUCGGGAAACCGGAGCUAAUACCGGAUAACAUAUUGAACCGCAUGGUUCAAUAGUGAAAGGCGGCUUUGCUGUCACUUAUAGAUGGAUCCGCGCCGUAUUAGCUAGUUGGUAAGGUAACGGCUUACCAAGGCAACGAUACGUAGCCGACCUGAGAGGGUGAUCGGCCACACUGGAACUGAGACACGGUCCAGACUCCUACGGGAGGCAGCAGUAGGGAAUCUUCCGCAAUGGGCGAAAGCCUGACGGAGCAACGCCGCGUGAGUGAUGAAGGUCUUCGGAUCGUAAAACUCUGUUAUCAGGGAAGAACAAAUGUGUAAGUAACUGUGCACAUCUUGACGGUACCUGAUCAGAAAGCCACGGCUAACUACGUG
rnacentral:rRNA from 1 species